GAUUACCUCCAGCUAUGGAGGGCAGAUCCUAGAGCACGGACUUGUUGAAGAAACAUGCCUUCGGAUUGUCAACCUCUUCCCCCCGACCGAACGACUCAGAUGAUUGCCUGUGGGGUGACGUUCCGGGCGAGGGAGCACCGACUACUUACGUCCAGCAGCGCGUUAUUACGUAGUGGCGAGCGUUGUCCGAAUGACUUGGGGUAAGGCGGUUAGCCGUUCCUAUAAGUCUUGGGUGGAACCGGCGGUUCAAUCGGCGGCCUGCCUUGGAACUGCCGGGGCCUAGAGUUGACUAGAGGGCAGCGGAAUUCCCUGGUGUAGCGGUUGAAUGCGUAGAGAUCCGGGAGGAACACCAGUGGCGAAGGCGGCUGCCUUGGGGCCUAACUGACGCUGAGGCGCGAAAGCUGGGGGAGCAAACAGGAUUAGAUACCCUGGUAGUCCCAGCCGUAAACGAUGAGCGCUACGUGUGGUGGGGUUACUCCUGCCGUGCGGAAGCCAACGCAUUAAGCGCUCCGCCUGGGGAGUACGGCCGCAAGGCUGAAACUCAAAGGAAUUGACGGGGGCCCGCACAAGCGGUGGAGCAUGUGGUUUAAUUCGAAGCAACGCGUAGAACCUUACCUGGGCUUGACAUGCCGUUGUACCCGCCGAAAGGUGGGGAGCCCCUCUUCGGAGGGGAGGGCGGCACAGGUGGUGCAUGGUUGUCGUCAGCUCGUGUCGUGAGAUGUUGGGUUAAGUCCCGCAACGAGCGCAACCCCUGCCCCAUGUUGCCAGCGGGUGAUGCCGGGGACUCAUGGGGGACUGCCGGGGACGACCCGGAGGAAGGUGGGGAUGACGUCAAAUCAUCAUGCCCCUGAUGCCCAGGGCUACACACGUGCUACAAUGGCCGGGACAGCGCGGACCGAACCUGCGAGGGGGAGGGAAUCGCUCAAACCCGGUCCCAGUUCGGAUCGCAGGCUGCAACUCGCCUGCGUGAAGGCGGAAUCGCUAGUAAUCGCGGAUCAGCACGCCGCGGUGAAUGCGUUCCCGGGCCUUGUACACACCGCCCGUCACACCAUGGGAGCCGGCAACACCCGAAGCCGGUGGAGCUAACCCCGAUGAGGGGAGGCAGCCGUCGAAGGUGGGGCCGGUGACUGGGGUGAAGUCGUAACAA
rnacentral:rRNA from 1 species